rnacentral:rRNA from 1 species
UUAGUGGCGGACGGGUGAGUAACGCGUGGGCAACCUGCCUUACACAGGGGGAUAACACUUAGAAAUAGGUGCUUAAAAACCGCAUAAGCGCACAGCUUCGCAUGAAGCGGUGUGAAAAACUCCGGUGGUGUAAGAUGGACCCGCGUCUGAUUAGCUUGUUGGCGGGGUAACGGCCCACCAAGGCGACGAUCAGUAGCCGGCCUGAGAGGGUGAACGGCCACAUUGGGACUGAGACACGGCCCAAACUCCUACGGAAGGCAGCAG